UCUUGGAUGUAACAGAUGAUCCACUUUGUAUUUAUCCAAAUUUUUAUUUAAUCCUUUUACUUUUUCUUGGUUUUGUGAACAAAUGAUCUUGUUAUAUAUGAUAUAGAUAGAAAACGGUUUUGUUGUUUGUCUUUCGUUGUCACUUGAGGAACCAUCAAGAUUGGUAUUACCAAAGUUGAUAAGAUUUGAGUCUUUGAGGAGAGUUUCUUGCUACAAUUUUAUUCUCGUUUACUAACCAAAUUACACAAAUCUUGGCUUACAUUUUGACCCUACGAGAAGUGUCAUAGUAAAAGUUUUUGUUUCCUCAUAUCUCUGGUGGGCAAUUCACUGUAGCUGGAUACCAAAACAGUCGAGAAGCAACCUCUUUAAUGUUGGUUUUUCCUUCAGUGAAUUGUGUGGUUUUAUGAGUCACCAUAAUUAAAGCUUGUCUGCUGUGUAUCUACCCUAUGCCCACUUUCUUUAAUUCUACUUUUGGCCACAACCCCAUUUGAAAACUCCGCCAAAAUUUGCAUAAUCUAAGCACUUUUCUUUUUUACCCUUUUUACUAUAUUGUGGUAUAAAACUAGUCUGUGUCUCUCUAGCAUUGCAGCAGUUCUUGAAUUGUCUUAAGCACUUUGCUUUUUUUACCCUUUUUACUAUAUAGUGGUAUAAAACUAGUGUGUGUUUCUCUAGCAUUGCAGUAGUUCUUGAAUUAUCUUGGAUCAUAAAAAAAAAACUAUUUUUUGAAUGCAAUGC
rnacentral:lncRNA from 1 species